rnacentral:rRNA from 1 species
AUUGAACGCUGGCGGAAUGCUUUACACAUGCAAGUCGAGCGGCAGCGCGGGGCAACCUGGCGGCGAGCGGCGAACGAGUGAGUAAUGCAUCGGAACGUACCCAGUCGUGGGGGAUAACUGUCCGAAAGGACAGCUAAUACCGCAUACGUCCUGAGGGAGAAAGCGGGGGAUCGCAAGACCUCGCGCGAUUGGAGCGGCCGAUGCCGGAUUAGCUAGUUGGUAGGGUAAAGGCCUACCAAGGCGACGAUCCGUAGCUGGUCUGAGAGGACGACCAGCCACACUGGAACUGAGACACGGUCCAGACUCCUACGGGAGGCAGCAGUGGGGAAUUUUGGACAAUGGGGGCAACCCUGAUCCAGCCAUUCCGCGUGAGUGAAGAAGGCCUCGGUG